rnacentral:misc_RNA from 1 species
GUAGAAUCCUAAUUAUUGUAGAUAGGUGGUAAGGUGGCUUUUAAUUAAUAAUGGAUAGGAAACUCUAUGAUGUUAGGAUAUUUAAUGUGUAUUGUUCAAUUUUGUUCAUUUAUCCAUUGCGUUGCUAUGGUUUUGUUUUACAUCUCCAGUAAUUAUUGUCAAAUGAUGUUUUUGACUAUUUGGUUGAGUGGAAAGGUGGUUGCAGUUGAUUGUUUUUCGCAAAUCUGUUUUAGAAAAGUUAUAUCUGUUCCUUUUUUUUUUUUUU